GGUCUCUCUCACCCAAGCCAAGCAGAAACACAAAUACCCCCUUCUCCAACCCUAGCCUUUGAGAAUCUGAUUCUUAUUAAGAUUUGGAGGUUUAUCUCAUGGAAACUUUUUUUUCUAUGGUGGUUUCAUAGCCAAUUCUCUGUUCUUCCCUUCCAUUUUUUUGUUGAUAGAUGAAACUUGUCGAAUUCUACUUGAAUGCUGGUGGUUUUUCCUAUGAUAAAUUUUUGUGCUUCUAUUUUGAGUCUGUAAUUCGUGCUUUCAUAACCAGUUAUAAACAUCGUUUAUAAUUGAGGAAUGAUUUCGCAAAACCUAUUAGAUCUGAUCACAAUUGAACCCAUUCUCAAGUGCAUCGUGCGAGAUUUACAUAUUUUAAUCUGUGUAUUUGUAUUUUUCAGGUGAAAACAACCAAUCCUAAUAUUGUGUUCCUCAUUUGGUGAUAUGACAAGACUUGUGCUGUUGGAAUUUUCUAAUUCAAGAAGGAAGAAGGACAUUGGGUUGAGGAGUGCAAAUUGAGAGUGGCUGUUGGAAUUUUCUAAUUCAGCUGGCGUCUGCAAAUGGUGAAAAGAGAGUAGAAGAACUUGAGCUGGAGACAAGAAGUUCAAAGAAAGAGCUUGAAAGCGAAAAGGUAUAGAUGAAAAGGAAGUUCAUGGUAUAGAAUACAGAUAGCUUUUGGUACAAAACCUUUUAUGAAAAUAUUGUCUACUUUGCAGUAAUUCCUGUGUUCUUAUCUUAUUUUUACUAAUGUCAUUUCUAUGUGAAUGCAAAGUUAUUCUAUGAGUUGAGUUGACCAGUGCUUAUGGUUCAAGGAAUACUGAAUCCCAUAGCAGAUCUGUUUCUUCAGCAUUCCAUCUGAUUAAUUUUUUCCCUCGAGUUUCUUUCUUUGUUGCUGUUGUUAGCAGGUAGCCAGAGAAGAAGCGUGGGCUAAAGUUUCAGUUCCUGAGCUUGAAAUAAAUGCUGCAAUCCGAGAUCUUGAUUUUGAGAGACAGAGGUUAAAGGGUUCCAGAGGAAAGCUUAUGCUUCGAGGGCUACUCAACUUGAAGAAGCUGAGGAUGCAGCUGCAAAAAUGCAGAAGAGGAGAUCGAUGGAGUUCUUAGAUGGAAAAUGAAAUUCUUAGAUGGAAAUGAAAAAAAUACAUUGUUUGUUAUGUUAAAUAAAAUAUUUAUCAUUUUUCUCUCAUUCAA